rnacentral:rRNA from 1 species
CCUACGGGAGGCAGCAGUAGGGAAUAUUGCUCAAUGGGGGAAACCCUGAAGCAGCAAAACCGCGUGGAGGAUGAAGGUUCUCGGAGUUUAAACUCCUUUUGGUACAGGAGUUAAUGACGUUAUCUAACGAAUAAGCACCGGCUAACGCCGUGCCAGAAGCCGCGGUUAUACGGCGGCUGCCAGCGUUACGCGGAAUCAUUGUGCGUAAAGAGCGCGUAGGCGGGAUAGCAAGUCAGAUGUGAAAUGCUAUGGCUUAACAAUAGAACUGCCUUUGAAACUGUUAUACUAGAGGAUGGAAGAGGUAGGUGGAAUGCGUGGUGUAGCGGUAAAAUCCGUAGAGAUCAAGAGGAAUACUGAUUGCGAAGGCGGCUUAAUAGACCAUAACUGACGCUGAUGCACGAAAGCGUGGGUAGCGAACAGGAUUAGAUACCCGAGUAGUC